rnacentral:rRNA from 1 species
CAUUCAAUUGGUAGAGGAGCAUUCUUAAGGGGACGAAGCAGUACCGAAAGGAGCUGUGGACUUUUAAGAAGAGAGAAUGCCGGAAUGAGUAGCGAGAGGAAGGUGGGAAUCCUUCCGGCCGAAUAUCUAAGGUUUCCAGAGUAAAGCCGAUCUGCUCUGGGUAAGUCGGGGCCUAAGGCGAGGUCGAAAGACGUAGUCGAUGGAUAACAGGUUGAAAUUCCUGUACUAUCCUGUAACAGAACUGUGGGGACACAGGCAGAGAGCGUGAGCCGGGAAUGGAAAGACCGGUACAAGCGAGGUAGGAGAAGAGUUGGCAAAUCCGCUCUUUAAUCUGAAGACGUGAUGUGGACUGAAAAUAAGUAGGGAAGCACGUGAGCUGACUGUCAAGAAAAGCCGCUAUUGUUUGCAGGAUACCCGUACCGUAAACCGACACAGGUGGAUGAGGAGAGAAUCCUAAGGCCGACGGGAGAAGCAUUGUUAAGGAACUCGGCAAAAUGACUCCGUAACUUCGGGAGAAGGAGUGCCAGUAAGAUGGCCGCAGAGAAUUGGCCCAAGCAACUGUUUAGCAAAAACACAGGUCUAUGCAAAACCGAAAGGUGAGGUAUAUGGGCUGACGCCUGCCCGGUGCUGGAAGGUUAAGGGGAGAGGUUAGCGCAAGCGAAGCUUUGAACUUAAGCCCCAGUAAACGGCGGCCGUAACAAUAACGGUCCUAAGGUAGCGAAAUUCCUUGUCGGGUAAGUUCCGACCCGCACGAAAGGCGUAAUGAUUUGGGCACUGUCUCAACAAUGCACCCGGUGAAAUUGAAAUACCAGUGAAGAUGCUGGUUACCUGCGCCAGGACGGAAAGACCCCAUGGAGCUUUACUCCAGCUUGAUACUGGGAUUCGGUAUUGCAUGUACAGGAUAGGUGGGAGGCUAGGAAAUGGUAACGCCAGUUGCCAUGGAGCCAAUGUUGGGAUACCACCCUUGCAGUACUGGGUUUCUAACCAGCAGCCGUGAUCCGGCUGGGGGACAAUGUCAGGUGGGGAGUUUGACUGGGGCGGUCGCCUCCGAAAGGGUAUCGGAGGCGCUCAAAGGUUCCCUCAGAAUGGUUGGAAACCAUUCGAAGAGUGCAAAGGCAGAAGGGAGCUUGACUGCGACACCGACGGGUGGAGCAGGUACGAAAGUAGGACUUAGUGAUCCGGUGGUAUAAAGUGGGAUUGCCAUCGCUCAACGGAUAAAAGCUACCUGGGAUAACAGGCUUAUCACUCCCAAGAGUUCACAUCGACGGAGUGGUUUGGCACCUCGAUGUCGGCUCAUCGCAUCCUGGGGCUGAAGUAGGUCCCAAGGGUUGGGCUGUUCGCCCAUUAAAGCGGUACGCGAGCUGGGUUCAGAACGUCGUGAGACAGUUCGGUCCCUAUCCGGCGUGGGCGUAAGAUAUUUGAGAGGAGCUGUCCUUAGUACGAGAGGACCGGGAUGGACUGGCCGCUGGUGUAUCUGUUGUCUUACCAAUGGCAUAGCAGAGUAGCCAAGCCGGGAAGGGAUAAACGCUGAAGGCAUCUAAGCGUGAAGCCCCCCUCAAGAUGAGAUAUCUCAUAACGUCAAGUUAGUAAGACCCCUUGAAGACGACGAGGUAGAUAGGGCAGAGGUGGAAGUGUGGUAACACAUGGAGCUGACUGUUACUAAUAGGUCGAGGGCAUAACC